rnacentral:lncRNA from 1 species
CAGCACUUUGGGAGGCCGAGGCAGGUGGAUCACGAGGUCAGGAGUUCAAGAUCAGCCUGGCCAAGAUGGUGAAACCCCAUCUCUACUAAAAAUACAAAAAUUAGCCUGAUGUGGUGGCACGCGCCUGUAAUCCCAGCUACUUGGGAGGCUGAGGCAGAGAACUGCUUGAACCUGGGAGCAUUCCAGCCUGGAUGACAGAGUGAGACUCCGUCUCAAAAAAAAAAAAAAAAUUAGCUGGGCGUGGUGGCAUCCGCCUUUGGUCCCAAAUACUCAGGAGGCUGAGCCUCCCAAGUAGCUGGGAUUACAGGUGCAUACCACCACGCCCGGCUAAUUUUUUGUAUUUUAAGUAGAGGCGGGGUUUCACCAUGUUGGCCAGGCUGGUCUCGAACUCCUGACCUCAAGUGAUCUACCCGCCUCGGCCACCCAAAGUGCUGGGAUUACAGGCGUGAGCCUCCGCACCCAGCCAAAGGGUGGUUUUUACUUCUAUAUAAAUUAUACUUCAGUAAACCUGAAUUAAGAUAAGGAAAGCAAGCUCUUGGCCGGGUGCAGUGGCUCACGCCUGUAACCCCAGCACUUUGGGAGGCGGAGAUGGGCGGAUCACGAGGUCAAGAGAUCGAGAGCAUCCUGGCUAAAUGGUGAAACCCUGUCUCUACUAAAAAUACAAAAAAAUUAGCCAGGCGUGGUGGUGGGCAUCUGUAGUCCCAGCUACUUGGGAGGCUGAGGCAGGAGAAUGGCGUGAACCCGGGAGGCGGAGCUUGCAGUGAGCCGAGAUCGCGUCCAGACCUGGGUGACAGAGCGAG